rnacentral:lncRNA from 1 species
UUUUUUUUUUUUUUUUUUUUAAUUAAAAUAGAAUCUUUCAAGGGCAGAAGUCUCUCUGCUUCCCCACCUGGGCAAACCCUGCUCUUCCUGAAGGUGACAUGUAAAUAUGUACAAAUGCAGCUUAUCUGCAGGGCUUGCUGGGUGCUGCCUGUAAGGGACGGGGAAGCGCCUCGGUUCUCUUGCUCCCUUCCCGGUGCGUAGUCCCCUCUGAGCUGGAUGACAAAGGUGCAAAUCCCAGCGCUGCCCGUGGGGAACUGGAUGACUCCAGGCAAGACAGUUAAGCUCUUUGGGUCCCGCUUUCACGACCUGUAAUAAGACAACAUCAUAGGCCCGUGGCGGCUUCCGUGAUGAGCGUAUGUACAGCACUGGGAACCCUACCAGGCGCUGCUGUAAUCACGCUGCUGCUGCUGCUGCUGCUGCUGCUGCGAGUUUGCUGUCGUAGGUGUGCUUCUCCAAGUGCGGGAGAACCCGAGUGGGGACAAGGAGCAGCAGGCCGGGGCCCGGGAGGGGCUGUUUGCUGGGCCCAGGAACGAAGGGAAGGAGUUUGCUUGAGAGGCUGUUGUCUGGAAACCAGAGCGAUCCCGCUUAAUCGGAGGCACGCUUGCAAGGGCUCCCGCGUUGGUUAAAACAGAGGUUUUAAUUUACUUCUAUUGGGAAGCCCUUGGUGUCUUCAGGGAGAUAAGAGGAGGUGGUAGGAAACCAGCAGCCCCAGGCUAACAGCCGGGACGGAGGACUGGGGUCGGGGUAGUGUGUGAUCCGCUGCGGGGACGAGCCUGGCGGGGCUUGAGGAUCUUACUUGAGAUCUGCUCCGGGGGUGGGAAGGAACGCUGAGGCCUCCUGUGGCGACUGGUGCAGCCUGUCCAGCUAGGGGAGGCAGCGCUCCGUGGACGGGCAGCUGGCGAAGGGGAGUCUCACCCAGACAAUCUCAGACACGGGAACAGAUCAUGCAAGCAAGCUGCAACCCCGUGUUGAUCCCCGAGUGCUUUUUCUCCCACGGGGCUGCCCAUGCCCUGAGGACUUAAGAACAGACAGAGGCUGGGCCUUUUUCAUCUCUGGAUUUCCAGGGAGGGCUCAAGAAAUACUAGGGGCCUGUGUUAUGCAUGAAUUACAAAUCUGGGAUGACCUAGGAAGUAAAACUUUAAAAUGGGACAGGGGCUGGUGUUCCCAUCAUGGAGCACUACUGGCCUACACCACAGUCACGGCAACGCCAGAUCUGAGCCACAUCUGCGACCUACAUCACAGCUCAUGACAAUGCCAGAUCCUUAACCCACUGAGCAGGACCAGGGAUCGAACCUGUGUCCUCAUAGAUACCAGUCGGUGUCGUCAAUCACUGAGCUCCCAGGGGAACUCCCAUCUCUGCUUAUUGAAUUUGGAUCCUGGGGGGGUGGUGAAUUUCCUUUCCCACCCUCUCCCCACCAUCCAAUUUAAAUAUUACCUCUUGCGAAGGUAAUAUUAAACUAAACUAAAACAAAAUGACCAAACAGUCCAUGUUCAGACUUCUGCUAAUGGAGGGGUGGUUCAGAGCUAAUCUCACCCCCUUGUUCUUCUGAAAUUAUCUCGUUCAGCACCUUGGCAGUUUGGUGCUAUUGAAACACCGCAGGACCCUGACACGCUUUGGGAGGCAUGAAGAUGAGCUGACUGCCCUUCAGACUGGGACCUGGCGGAGCGCCUGUCGUGGCCCAGCGGUAAUGAACCUGACUCGCAUCCAUGAGGACGAGGGUUCGAUCCCUGGCCUCGCUCAGUGGGUUAAGGGUCCGGCGUUGCCGUGAGCGGUGGUGUAGGUCGCAGAUGCGGCUCAGAUCCCGCGUUGCUGUGGCUGUGGUGUAGGCCGGUGGCUGUAGCUCCGAUUAGACCCCCAGCCUGGGAACCUCCAUAUGCUGCGGAUGUGGCCCUUAAAAAAAAAAAAAAAAUUGGUAGCUGGGACUGCGGUUUUCACACAUUGUAGGGUAAAGUUUCACAAAUGGCUUGCUCUGUUGGGGGACAGAGACCUGAAUUUUCCAUAGUGCCAACUAACCAGUGAUGCUUAGUUCAUGUUUGCAGCUUGCUGGACGUGCGGUUAAUUAAAAAGCACUCUUAGUUGCGUGAUUCCACAGAAACUGGCUAGAAUUCCCAGGCGUAUUUUACAAAUGAAAUUAGGUUUUGUGGGAGUCGUAAAAUUAUAUUUGUAUGUCUAUUUCUUUUCAUCUCAAAGGCAAGAAUAAUAUUCUCGAAUCCACUGUUACUUCCUGUCUUUCAUUCAUGCGUUUAUCUUUUCUCUGUAGCUGUGCUGCUGUCUUGUAAGCGGACUCCAGGACUUGUUUAGAGAUCAGAUAAUUUUGUGGACUCUGUCAUCCGAAAAUCCCUUGAUAGGUUUCCAGGUUCUACAUAAUGAGCAAUGUUAAAAAAGAUGCAGACUCUUUGCUUUUCUCAUCGUCUCUUCUUCGCCUUAUUAAGAUCUGCUGAAGAAUAUAUUUCAUGUGGGUUCCCCUGAACAGGAAGCCACAGACAUUCGUGUGUUUGCGCCGCGGCUGUGUGGUGUGGCUGAGGGUGGGAAAAUGUUUCGGAGCCUCCGAAAAUCGAAAUGUACCUGGGAGAGCGCGUGGAAUCGACGCUGCAGGUCUAAUGCUACAAUGCAGUCACAGAUGUGGCGUUUGCAUCUUCAGACGGCCUUCUGUUGAAAGGAGACAGAAUUCCGUUAAAACUGUCGAGUCGGGGUGUGAAUGGCUCUGAGGAAGAAUGGUCUUUGUCCAAGCCCAAAUUCGGAACUAUCACAACUUCAAAAGCCUGUCCUGCAAGUUCCCAGGUGGUUCAGCAGGUUAAGGGUCUGACAUUGUCCCUGCUGUGGCUUGGGACUGGGUCAUGUCUGUCCCUGGCCUGGGAACGUCUGCAUGGUAUGGGCAUGCCCCCCGCCCCUCCCAAAAUCAGCAGAAAUGUUGUCCUGCCUCAGGAGCAGCUGCCACCAGCUGACUUGCUUGUUGGUCACGUGGCGUUCCCUCUGCGUAGAGUGUGGGGUUGGUGCCCGGAGAUGGUAACCCCACUCUCUUCGAGGCAGGGGCUUGGGGAAGAGAGGCUUCUGCCCGGGGCCUAAACGAAGACAUUCUCCUGGGCAAAUUAUAUUAUUG